rnacentral:rRNA from 1 species
UACGGAGGAUGCAAGCGUUAUCCGGAUUUAUUAGGUUUAAAGGGUGCGUAGGUGGGCGUUUAAGUCAGUGGUUAAAGCCAAUAGCUUAACUAUUGUAUGCCAUUGAAACUGGAUGUCUUGAAUAGGGUAGAGGUAGGCGGAAUGUGUUGUGUAGCGGUGAAAUGCUUAGAUAUUACACAGAACACCGAUUGCGAAGGCAGCUUGCUGGGUCAUUACUGACGCUGAUGCACGAAAGCGUGGGCAUCAAACAGGAUUAGA